rnacentral:rRNA from 1 species
UACGUAGGGUGCGAGCGUUGUCCGGAAUUAUUGGGCGUAAAGAGCUCGUAGGCGGUGUGUCACGUCGGCCGUGAAAACCUGGGGCUUAACUCUGGGCGUGCGGUCGAUACGGGCAUCACUAGAGUUCGGCAGGGGAGACUGGAAUUCCUGGUGUAGCGGUGAAAUGCGCAGAUAUCAGGAGGAACACCGGUGGCGAAGGCGGGUCUCUGGGCCGACACUGACACUGAGAGACGAAAGCUAGGGGAGCGAAUGGG